rnacentral:rRNA from 1 species
UACGUAGGGUGCAAACGUUGCUCGGAAUCACUGGGCAUAAAGCGCACGUAGGCGGUUGCCUAAGUUGGAUGUGAAAUCCCGUGGCUCAACCAUGGAACUGCAUCCGAUACUGGGCGACUCGAGGAAGGUUGGGGUGAGUGGAACUCCAGGAGGAGCGGUGAAAUGCGUAGAUAUCUGGAGGAACACCGGUGGCGAAAGCGUCUCACUGGACCUUUACUGACGCUGAGGUGCGAAAGCUAGGGGAGCGAAUGGG